rnacentral:lncRNA from 1 species
AUGUUGUAUUCAAAAUUUUAUUUUAUAUAUAAAAAAUAAAUAAGCAAUGCGAAACGUGGGGGGCAUUUUAAUCAUACGGUUACAUAAAUGGCUGUCCACUGAUAUCAGAAAGAGCAACAUAGUUGGGUACAUUAGGGUUGGGGCCCUUUGCAUAUGCAGGGCUAGCCUAACCUUUUGAGUUGGGCUUAACAUUGAAGCCUUAAAUCAGGAAAAUAAGCUGUCUGUGUAUAGUAUGGUAAUACAGGACAGGUUUUUUCAUAUCAUCCUGUCUCCCCAAUUGAAUCAAAUUGGUCUGGUUUCUUUCAACCAAGGUAGACAUCAAAAGAAAACCAAUUUGGGUGUGGGUUUUAUGUUCAAAUUUCAUGAAAAACAAACAAACAUGGUUUUGUUGAACAUCUAUAGUAUAAACGCCUUCUUCUCACUACUCUAGUGUUUCUAGUUACACAAAUUCCAUCAUUUGAUUCUUCGGACAAACAAAAGAACAUCAGCUAAAUUCAAUACUCAAACAUCACAGCCCCCCCUGCAAAACUAAAAUCUACUAAGUAAGAAAACUAGGAAGCUUGCUACACUUUUUGCGUAUAGUAGAAACUACAAAUAUCCUUUUGCUGACAAGCAGCCUCGCCAUAAAUAACAAAAACAAAAACAGAUUCGAAUGUCUCAACAUCUGUUGUGAAUUGGGUCGGAUCCUUUCUUAACACUUCUUUUGUUUGAUCGAUUUGGAUCAAACAUGAUUGAAGGUGCCGGCGCCAAACUUGGUGGGGUUUGCAAAGAAUCCACUGAACCAACAGCCCUGAGAAUGCGUGAGUUUUCAACCAAGGGAGACAACCCUUUAUCCCAUUUGAGAGCAAGAUCAAUGCCUCUCAUGGCGGAAACAAUCUCUGUCUGAAAUACCAAUAGAGCAAUACAAGAAACAAGAAUGAACCCUCUGGUAUUAACUGAAAAACCCAUUGUGUGGUUUUCUUUUAAAUGUUGAACGAGAGACAGAGGACAAGAGGUAUCUGUUGGUGGAAGACAAUGAUGUGCAAAAAUUAAACUUUGUUGUCUGUCUGAGACAGGCAGCCACCAGGUUAUGUUGAAGGGGCUUAUAUGAUCUGCGGGAAUGGAGCCUGAAGUUUAUCUUUUAUGGGAUUCGGAAAGACUAAAAAAGCACAAGGCAAUGUUGGGG